rnacentral:siRNA from 1 species
AGAAAAGUCAGAGUGUUACGGA